rnacentral:rRNA from 1 species
UACGUAGGGUGCAAGCGUUGUCCGGAAUUAUUGGGCGUAAAGAGCUCGUAGGCGGCUUGUCACGUCGACUGUGAAAACCCGGGGCUCAACUCCGGGCCUGCAGUCGAUACGGGCUGGCUUGAGUGCGGUAGGGAGACUGGAAUUCCUGGUGUAGCAGUGAAAUGCGUAGAUAUCAGGAGGAAUACCGAUGGCGAAGGCAGGUCUCUGGGCUGACACUGACGCUCAUGCACGAAAGCGUGGGGAGCAAA